AUAUAGACCUGCCCGGGGAGAUACCAUGAUCAAUAGAAAGUGGUUUUCCUAGGGCAAGGUUUGUCCAUUAUACUUGGGAUGAGCUAACCCCUGCGAUUUCCCCAAAUACUGAAAAUUCCACUGCCUAAUUUGUGGUAGUUGGGGACUUCACUCUCUCCCUCC
rnacentral:snRNA from 1 species